rnacentral:sRNA from 1 species
UUUUGCAAGGAUCGCCCCCCGUCAGCGAGUUUCGCCCACGGGGGACAUUGGC